rnacentral:rRNA from 1 species
UCGGGAAUUUUGGGCAAUGGGGGAAACCCUGACCCAGCAACGCCGCGUGAAGGAUGAAGUAUUUCGGUAUGUAAACUUCGAAAGAAUAGGAAGAAUAAAUGACGAUACUAUUUAUAAGGUCCGGCUAACUACGUGCCAGCAGCCGCGGUAAUACGUAGGGACCAAGCGUUGUUCGGAUUUACUGGGCGUAAAGGGCGCGUAGGCGGCAUGACAAGUCACUUGUGAAAUCUCUGGGCUUAACCCAGAACGGCCAAGUGAUACUGUCGCGCUAGAGUGCAGAAGGGGCAAUCGGAAUUCUUGGUGUAGCGGUGAAAUGCGUAGAUAUCAAGAGGAACAC